UCCUCCUCUCGCCCUUGUCUCGUUUCGCGGAGGAACCGAGGAAACUCGCCUCGGGUUCGCCGGGAACGGAGGCGUCAACCUCGACGCCGGCGAGAGAAGCCGACGACGCAUUUGCUAACCUAUUGAUCCAUUUGGUGCAGCCGAUCGCCGAGAACGCGACCGCGUCAACUCGGUGUGUCGCCACGCCCUGAACGCCGCCGCAUCAUCUUCACAACGUCGCCCGCCAUCCACAGUCCACCAUCGGUCGAGCCGCCUCGCCAUCGUCUUCGCCAACGCCCAAGGACCAGGAUACCCGAAGGAAUCGAGCCACAUUGGAUCUCAGGAGGAGAAUGCCAUCUUCUUCCCCGAUUCCGGCCGCCGUCGCCAUUUCUCUCUCUCUCACUCUCUGGUGAGCUUCGGCGCAUCCUUUUUCACCUAAAGCUACUUCGUGCCAAUGUGAAUCGAUGCAUGCCCCUUUUCUUAGCAGAUCAAGGCCGGAGAACGCCGUCGACGACGACCGCUGCCGAAGCCGCUCUCCAUCGCCAAGACCUCGCCAAGCCAGAGCAGCCGCUCGGUGAGCACCCUAGAGACCCUUAAAGCCCCCUGCGACAACAUGCAAGUGUAGAUCGGGACUCUAAAGUGACAUGCAUGUGUAGGCCGAAGGCAUCCACCGCCUCUAACACCCUAACAGCCACUGUAGUGCAUCAUAGAUUGCAAGAAGGCCACCGAUAGAAUCGCAACGAUGUCCUCGACAUUUUUCUUUUUGGGAGCAAGGGCUGCUUUGCCGCCGUUCGCCGCCGGCGAAGCCGGGAAGCUCGCGGCCGAGCCGGUGCUCUGCUCUGUUUAGAGCAGGGGCUAGUUUUAGCAAGAGUUUAAAAAGUGCAAGGGUGUAUUAGCAAGAACGCAAACACUGACAUAUGGGACCAUGGAAUGAUUAGUAAAUAACAUAAAAUUGAAGGUUUCUUUUGAAAGAAAACAUACAACACUUGUUUGGACUGCGGGAUCUAUUUCCCGGAAUUCCAGAGUUCUUAGCGCAAAUUACCAGUCAAUGACAGGUGGGACCGAGGAAGAAAAUGAUUUGAAAAGAAAUAGGGGAAGUGAAAAACUGAUUUCAGUGCAACUAUAAAAUGCUGAAACUUUGGAAAUUCAUAGUUAAAUUCAUUCUAACUCCAAAAAUUGCAAACUAAAAUUUGUUAGAUUCACAUUUUCUUUCACAGCACUGUAAAAAUGUCAAACUUAACAGAAACAUGAAAGUUUAUACCAUUAAAAAUUCGAGACACAUAUAGGCUUUAAUUAAGCAGAACGACACUUCGAAAAUUCAUAACAUUCAAAUAAAAAUUGGUAAAAUGGAGAUUCUUUUACUAAAUGUCAAUUCAACACAGAACACAUUUCUAUACUAUAUCUAUAUCUAUACUAAUCUAAAAGGAGGAGUUCACCCCUAACAAUCAUACAUGCUAAAUCAUUCCAUCUCAUCUCAUCCGUCCAUCCGCCAUCUCAUCUAAUCAUUAGAUCUUUUUCUUUUCAUCCCACGGCUCCAAAUGAUCCUACGAUGAACUCACCUAAUCCCUGGUGAGCGGAAGCACUCCAUCGCACUAUCCCCACCACCGCGAAAUCUGCGCCGCGGUAAUCCCCGCCCUGGACGCUGAACGCGGAACGCCUCCUCGCAUGGGGCUGCACAGAAUCCUCCCGCCGGCCACCGCGCAAACACCACAGCUGCAUCGCCAACCACUAUUUCCUCCCCCAAAUCGUGUCCCUGGCUUCACACCGCGCCCACACAUUCCGCCAUCGCCAUUUCCUCCGUCCUAGGGCGAAGGAGAGCUCGCGACUCGCGGGAGGCGUCCUCCGCUCCACUACGCCCCGGUUGCCGCCACCUCCGCGUUACUAGGGGUGAGUAACUCACCGAAGUUCUCCCUAAGCAUUGGAGGGCCUGCAACCAACGUCGACGCCCUGUCCACAUGGCCACAACGCCGCAGCCAGACUGACCAAUCAAGCAUCCCCUGGGCCGUUGCCAUCGCAGGUCGAGCAGUCAUGCACCACCGCUGCCUCCGCGAGAAGAUCAGUAAUUGCUAAUUUUGUCUUGAAGCUUUUGGUGUGCUGGGACCCGUGAAUGACUAUAUUUUCUUUUAACAUUCUAAAGCAGGCUCAAGAGUGCUAUGAGAUCACUAUGGAGUAUUAAGGGAGUCAUGAGCUUGAUGAACUUGGUAAUAUGUUGACAAGCUGAGAGAAUGACGGCUCCACUGUGAUGGCCAAAGCUUUCUCCCCUGUGCUUAAUUUGGCUAACUUGGCUGAGGAGGUCCAGAUUGCAUACUGGAGGAGAAUAAAUCUCAAGAAAGGUGACUAUGCUGAUGAGAACUCCGCACCGACAGAAUCUUGAGAUUGAAGAAACAUUUAGGCCUUAUUCGUUUUGAAGGAUUCCUAAAGGAAAUCUCAAUUCCUUUGGAAUAAGCACUAUUCAUGCAUUCGGUUUGUAGGAUUCAAAAGAAAAUUUUCCAUAGGAACACUAUGCCAAUCCUCCAAAAAUCCUCCAAAAUGUACUAAUUCUAUAGGAAUGAAAACAUCCACUCUAUCCUCUUUUAUUUAGCUCAGUGUAGGAAAAAUUCCUGUGUUCCAAUCCUUUGUUUCGCACGUGCAUUCCUAUAUUAUUCCUACGUUUUUCCUAUUCCUGUGAUUUGAAAAUCCUGUGAACCGAAUAAGCCCUUAAGAGGUUUGCUGUUGACCUGAAGAAA